rnacentral:lncRNA from 1 species
AAAUUACUAGCUCAUAUGGAUCUUUAAAGGCUGAUCUACUUUUUCUUCCUUUGAUCUCUUGAAUGCUCCAAAGGAGAGGAAGAAUCUAUGGAGGAAGGGAAGAGAGGAGAGAGCUUUGGAGGAGAAACUAAUUUCAGCCAAGAACACUAUGGGGCGUCCAACUAUUGGACCCCCCUUUAAAUAGAUGGUCAUCAGGGUUUGGGUC